AGAGUUUGAUCCUGGCUCAGAUUGAACGCUGGCGGCAGGCCUAACACAUGCAAGUCGAGCGGAUGAUGGGAGCUUGCUCCCGGAUUCAGCGGCGGACGGGUGAGUAAUGCCUAGGAAUCUGCCUGGUAGUGGGGGACAACGUUUCGAAAGGAACGCUAAUACCGCAUACGUCCUACGGGAGAAAGCAGGGGACCUUCGGGCCUUGCGCUAUCAGAUGAGCCUAGGUCGGAUUAGCUAGUUGGUGGGGUAAAGGCCUACCAAGGCGACGAUCCGUAACUGGUCUGAGAGGAUGAUCAGUCACACUGGAACUGAGACACGGUCCAUACUCCUACGGGAGGCAGCAGUGGGGAAUAUUGGACAAUGGGCGAAAGCCUGAUCCAGCCAUGCCGCGUGUGUGAAGAGGGUCUUCGGAUUGUAAAGCACUUUAAGUUGGGAGGAAGGGCAGUAAGUUAAUACCUUGCUGUUUUGACGUUACCAACAGAAUAAGCACCGGCUAACUUCGUGCCAGCAGCCGCGGUAAUACGAAGGGUGCAAGCGUUAAUCGGAAUUACUGGGCGUUAAGCGCGCGUAGGUGGUU
rnacentral:rRNA from 1 species